rnacentral:tRNA from 1 species
GCCGGGGUAACUCAGCCUGGCUCAGAGUGCGGGGCUCAUAAUCCCGUUGUCGUGGGUUCGAAUCCCACCCCCGGCA